rnacentral:rRNA from 1 species
CGAACGGGUGAGUAACACGUGGGUAAUCUGCCCUGCACUCUGGGAUAAGCCUUGGAAACGAGGUCUAAUACCGGAUAUCACAACGCUUCGCAUGGAGUGUUGUUGAAAGUUCUGGCGGUGCAGGAUGAACCCGCGGCCUAUCAGCUUGUUGGUGGGGUAGUGGCCUACCAAGGCGACGACGGGUAGCCGGCCUGAGAGGGUGACCGGCCACACUGGGACUGAGACACGGCCCAGACUCCUACGGGAGGCAGCAGUGGGGAAUAUUGCACAAUGGGCGAAAGCCUGAUGCAGCGACGCCGCGUGAGGGAUGACGGCCUUCGGGUUGUAAACCUCUUUCGCCAGGGACGAAGCGCAAGUGACGGUACCUGGAUAAGAAGCACCGGCUAACUACGUGCCAGCAGCCGCGGUAAUACGUAGGGUGCAAGCGUUGUCCGGAUUUAUUGGGCGUAAAGAGCUCGUAGGCGGUUUGUCGCGUCGGCUGUGAAAUCUGGAGGCUUAACCUUCAGCGUGCAGUCGAUACGGGCAGACUUGAGUUCGGUAGGGGAGACUGGAAUUCCUGGUGUAGCGGUGAAAUGCGCAGAUAUCAGGAGGAACACCGGUGGCGAAGGCGGGUCUCUGGGCCGAUACUGACGCUGAGGAGC